UUCCACAAUAAACUAAAGUUAACAUUCGAAUUACAUGCGCAUUUUUAUUUUAUGCCAUCGUGUGGGUGCUACCUAAUAAAGUUAACAUAAAGUGCUGUGUUCUUAGCAAUAUAUUGGGCUCAAAUAUAAACAUAGUACUUUGAGCAUUACCGAAAGGCACCUCGGAAAAUACACAUGAUAGAAGUGAAUACUUUUUAUCGGUUCAUUGAGAGUGAGAGUAUAGCUAUAGCGAAUAUUAUGCCUUUAUGGUAACUGAAGUAUGAAACAUAUGUUCAUGAUUCUAAAUAGUGCAAUUUCUAGUGAAUAGAGUUCGUUCUUCCUGAUUUAGUCGCGGCAACUUUCCGGUCGUUAUUCAUAUCUAUACCGAGUUUUUCACGAAGAAAGUGAAGUAGUGGCAAGGACGCAAUAUCCGCAAAAUUUAUAUUAAAGUGACUACCGAGAGUUCAUGGUAUGUGAUCAUCACCCCUGCUAAAAAGAGUAGCACCGCCAUGAGUGUAUAUAACCAACGAACUCUGUAUGCAAUACCUGAUAUCCUCAAGUUUUAUUUGAGAUAUGUAGAUCGUUGCAAUGACAAGUUCUUUUCCGUUGGAUAUUUUUCAUUUACUCAAGCUGAUAUCGCCAAUUUCAAUCAAAGGAAUUAUAUGUGCAGUAGAAUAUAUUGCACUCAUAUCAUAUCAUAUUCGUAUCACUGCAUGUAUGAGAUUCUCGGAGCUCGAAGACUUUAGCACUCAACGGUGUACUUAUAUUGAUAACUUUUUCUUUGGCGAAUAAAAUCAAGUAUUUGUUUACCAACGAAUGUUUUACUAUAAACAAAUAAUAUCAAAAGAAUUUCGUCUCAAGAUGGCGGCUGGCAAAUCUUGCAUUCUAUCCUAAUUGAUUCCAUCAUGAUCUGUUAUCGUAACUUUUAACCUUUUCAUUCAAAUUCUUUUCAUUGUUGCAAGGGCGUCGGUUUCAAAUGGUAUGUAAUAGAAUAAUAGAAAUAUUUUGAAGAAUGAUUAAUAAGAAUAAAAAUAAGAAACUCUAAAAUAUUUAUUUUAAAAAUUUCAUAACAUUUAGCAUUAUUAAACCGAAUUACUUUUAUACCAAUCGUUACUUGCCUAAUGUGGAAUGUAUAGUCGCAAAUCGCUUGUAUUUUUACAGAAUAUUGACGUUUACGCGAAUAGUAAAUUUUAUGCUGCAUAACUGGAGUUUCGGCUAAUUUUAUUUCGGAACCAUCGAAGUAGCCUACCCACCUUGGCAUUUCUUUGGCAGUUGUAGAUGCAAUCUCCAGCUUCCUCUCAUUGGGCCGGUAUAAAACUCAUUUUUAAUCGCAAUAUGGUUUUAAAAGGCGUUGGUUACAUUUUAAUAGUGCCUCCAUUAUCCACACGGACUAAGAAGCCACUUUGUGAACAGAUUGUUCAUCGUCGGAAGAUCCCAACCGAUAUGGCACUAUUUUGAG